rnacentral:rRNA from 1 species
AUUGAACGCUGGCGGCAUGCCUUACACAUGCAAGUCGAACGGUAACAGGUCUUCGGAUGCUGACGAGUGGCGAACGGGUGAGUAACACAUCGGAACGUGCCUAGUAGUGGGGGAUAACUACUCGAAAGAGUGGCUAAUACCGCAUGAGAUCUACGGAUGAAAGCAGGGGAUCGCAAGACCUUGUGCUACUAGAGCGGCCGAUGGCAGAUUAGGUAGUUGGUGGGAUAAAAGCUUACCAAGCCGACGAUCUGUAGCUGGUCUGAGAGGACGAUCAGCCACACUGGGACUGAGAAACGGCCCAGACUCCUACGGGAGGCAGCAGUGGGGAAUUUUGGACAAUGGGCGAAAGCCUGAUCCAGCAAAGCCGCGUGCUGGAUGAAGGCCUUCGGGUUGUAAACUGCUUUUGUACGGAACGAAAAGCCCCGGGUUAAUACCCUAGGGUCAUGACGGUACCGUAAGAAUAAGCACCGGCUAACUACGUGCCAGCAGCCGCCAUAA